rnacentral:rRNA from 1 species
UACAGAGGUCCCAAGCGUUGUUCGGAUUUACUGGGCGUAAAGGGUGCGUAGGUGGCGGGGUAAGUCGGAUGUGAAAUCUCCAGGCUCAACCUGGAAAUGGCAUUGGAAACUACCUUGCUGGAGAGUUGGAGGGGGGACUGGAAUACUUGGUGUAGCAGUGAAAUGCGUAGAUAUCAAGUGGAACACCAGUGGCGAAGGCGAGUCCCUGGACAACUUCUGACGCUGAGAAGCGAAAGCAUGGGGAGCGAACAGG